rnacentral:rRNA from 1 species
CCCCACUGCUAUCGGGAUGGGACUAAGACAUGCUAGUCGAGCGUCUCCAAGCUAUGGAAGAGACGCGGCACACAGCUCAGUAACACGUGGCUAACCUGCCCUUGGGACAAGGACAACUCCGGGAAACUGGGGCUAAUCCCUGAUAAGUGAGAACUCCUGGAAUGGAUUCUCGCUCAAAGGACGUUUAGACCAUGCUUCUAGGCGUCGCCCAAGGAGGGGGCCGCGACCGAUCAGGUUGUUGGUGAGGUAACGGCUCACCAAGCCUUUAACCGGUACGGGCCGUGAGAGCGGAAGCCCGGAGAUGGGCACUGAGACAAGGGCCCAGGCCCUACGGGGCGCAGCAGUCGCGAAAACUCCGCAAUACACGAAAGUGUGACGGGGCCAUCCCGAGUGCCAUCCGCUGAGGAUGGCUUUUCCCCAGUGUAUAAAGCUGGGGGAAUAAGGAGAGGGCAAGCCUGGUGUCAGCCGCCGCGGUAAUACCAGCUCUCCGAGUGGUGGGGAUGUUUAUUGGGCCUAAAGCAUUCGUAGCCUGCUUGGCAAGUCCUCCGUUAAAUCCAACGAUUCAAUCGUUGGGCUGCGGGGGAUACUGUCCGGCUAGGGGGCGGGAGAGGCCGACGGUAUCCUCGGGGUAGGGGUGAAAUCCUAUAAUCCCGGGAGGACCACCAGUGGCGAAGGCUGUCGGCUAGAACGCGCUCGACGGUGAGGGAUGAAAGCUGGGGGAGCGAACCGGAUUAGAUACCCGGGUAGUCCCAGCUGUAAACGAUGCAGGCUAGGUGUUGGCGCGGCUACGUGCCGCUCCAGUGCCGCAGAGAAGCCGUUAAGCCUGCCGCCUGGGAAGUACGGCCGCAAGGCUGAAACUUAAAGGAAUUGGCGGGGGAGCACCACAAGGUGUGAAGCUUGCGGUUU